rnacentral:rRNA from 1 species
GUGCCAGCCGCCGCGGUAAUACCGGCAGCUCGCGUGAUGGCCGAUCUUAUUGGGCCUAAAGCGUUCGUAGCCGGCCACGCAAGUCCAUCGGGAAAUCCGUCAGCCCAACUGACGGGCGUCCGGUGGAAACUGCGUGGCUUGGGACCGGAAGGCUCGAAGGGUACGUUCGGGGUAGGAGUGAAAUCCCAUAAUCCCGCACGGACCACCGAUGGCGAAAGCACUUCGAAAAAACGGAUCCGACAGUGAGGGACGAAAGCCAGGGUCUCCAACCGGAUUAGAAACCCUGGUAGUCC